GCGCUUCCUGCGGGUUUAGCAGCCCUUCAGAGUUAGCAAGGUGGAUUAUUUUGUGCGUUUACCGUCUUACGCGGACCCUCUGACUUGACAAACUGAGAACAGGGAAGGAACAGCUAAUUGGCCGGCCAUGAAGAACUGAGGAGGCCGACCUAUACCUCAAGUCUCUAUGAUGUCUUUUCAAGACAUUUAAGAAGCAUCAGCUAUUUUUCAAGCAUUGGAGGUACAGAGAUGAGCAAGUGCUGGCCCUCAAGAAGAAUAUAAUAUCAGGACAGAGAUCUCCCCAGAGAAGUGUCUUUCCUUGCUAUUAGGUGAUUCAAAAUUGGGAGAAGAGGGAGGACUGAAAGGAGGAGAGGCUCUUUGUCUAUGGGGCAGGAGUUUAAGGUGAAAGAAUGCAGAGAGAUAAAUGUGCCUGGAGUCUUAAGAAAACUGAUGAUUGAUCUACUAAAUGGAUGAAAGAAUUUAUUCACAUAAAAAUCCUGCCUUUGAAACUAAGGCACAUGGACACACCCUUUAAGCCAGGAUUUCAAUGAAAAAACCUAGCCAAUCCAGUUUUAACAUUGUCAUUGGUGGUGUUAACAUGGAGACAGUCGCCUUCUUGUUGCUCAAUAGGAUGAGGAAACUGAAACUUGGAUACCUACCCAUUAUGGACUCAGGAACACUUAGGAAAGGCCACACGAGAACUCAGUCAGAAGGCAGGCACCUGCAAGGCAAGAAGAGAGGCUUCACCAGAAACCAACCCUGACAGCACAUUGAUUUUGGACUUCUAACCUUCCAGAACUGUGAGAAAAUAAAUUUCUGUUAUGUCACCUAGUCAGUGGUAUUCUGUAUGGCAGCCCAAGCAAACUAAGACAGGCACUCUUUCUUGCUUAGUGAUUUCCAAGUAUUUCAUAUGCAUUGUCUCUUUUAAUCUUCAUAAUAAACCCUGUGAGUUAGGCACUAUUAUUAUCCUCAUUCUAAACAUGAGGAAACUGAGACAUAGAAGGGUUAUGUAACUUGCCCAGAGUCACACACUGUGUCAGACCUCUCUGACUCCAGAUUGUAUUAGAAUAAGUAAAUGAAAAUAAAUAUCUUUAAGAUAUAUCAAGGCUUAAAAUUUUAAAUAUUAUGGCUCACAUGUGUCAUUUAUUCCUUCCAUUGAUAUUCUUGGAUUUUUGUCAGUUGUGCUAAAUUGAACUUAACUUGCGUUAGUAAUCUCAACCUAAAUUAACCAACGUAAUGAGCUCAUAAUGCUCACAUUUAAUCAAUACCCACUAGGGAACAGUUAUAUUAUCAUUUUUCUCACACUGUUUUGCCUUUAGGGGUGGUAUAAUCUGUUAUUGAGUAUAAAGUAGUAGGUGGAUUUAAAUCUUUUUAUUAAGCAAUGCUGUCAAGUACUACAGUUAUAGCUGCAAAUCUUGACUCAUCUGGUGGGAAAUGUGCUCUGGAUUCUAAGUCUGUUCUUCUUUAGUGCGUAUAAUUUAAUGGGAGGAACAAGACGAUCACGAAAAAUGUCUUGAAAUAUCUAUUUUUAUUUAGUGUACCAUUUAUUUUCCAAGAAUACGAAUGAGUUAUAUAGUUUUCAUACGUGGAGAACCCAUGGAAAAUAGGAACUUUGAGAAUGUAAUCUAUUGGCAGGACACCAGAAUGGUGAUAUACCCAGACUUGGAGCUAUGCAAAUAUUGGCUCCAUUUAUAGUAUUACUACUUACAACUAGUGUAGCCCAGACAAGUUACUUAACCCCUCUCUACCUCAGUUUCAUCAUGUAUAAAGUGCAAUUAAUUAUCAACUUCCAAAGGUGAAUAUAAAAAUUAAAUGGAAUGAUGUUUAUAGAGAGCUCAGCAUUCUGCCUAGCAAAUAUUAAUACUACAUGUUCAAUAAAUGCUAGCCGUAGUCAUUGACAUCUGAAUCAGGUGGGGUUUUUCUCCCACAAUUUAUUUAUGUAGUCAUUCAGCAUCCUGGAAAAACUCCUGUUUGGCUCAUGGGUAUAAUCAAAACAGAUCCUGUGGGUACAUUCAAGGUACUUUCAAGCCAUCAGAAGGUAUAAUAUGAGAAGUGGGGGGGGGGGCAGGGGGAAACAGAGCUAGAAGUAGGAAAAAAAACAUUUUUCAAGAUGAAGAACUGUUAUUUUCUAGCUCCCAAGAGACUUUGCAACAAUAAACAGCAAAAAGUAGGAGAUGAUUACACUUUACACAAGAGACAGCUAUUUAUAAAGGAGUUUUAAAUGAUACACAACAAACACUAUUGGGUCCACCAACACAAUAGACAGGGGUGCAAGCUGGUCUGUAGUUAAUGCAGAUGCCUUAGGAAAUACCACAGAAAGUCACUAGAAUGAGCUUGAACCCCAGUUACAUAGACCCAGGCGUUAGACUAGCACCAGCUAAAGGCCUGGGAAGCCCCAGGCUUAACUAACAGAAAUUGGUCAAGUAGCAAACACAUGUAAGCCGUGACCCUCAGCGUGGCUGCUGUUGUCCAAAAGACCCCAGGUUGCCCUGACAUCAAAUCAUCACCCCGGUGACCCCAGUGGGAGAGGACAGACUGGUGAAAGUCUUCGAAGGAUAAGGUCAGAAAAGCCUAGCUUUGACUUAGGUUAUGUGGCAAUGACAGUUAACUAAUCCCCAAAAUCUGUUUCCCCUUCAUGGUCUGGAGUUGUGGCAACAUAGGUUGUGCAGCCAGGAAGAUAAUUUCUUAGCCAGGAAGAUAAUUGCAUCUUGGCAAUGCGAUGUAGCUGAGUUCUAGCUAACGGGGGGUGGGGGGGUUGGGUAUGAGUAGAAGUGAUGUGUGCUACUUCUAGGCCCACUCGUAAAACCUCCCACACUUUCCCUAUUCUCCUCCAGCCACCAGACAAAAAAAACCACUAUGAUGACCUUGGAAACUAAAUGCUAAAGAUUGCAGAAACUCCAGAUAUCAAUACCUGGGUCCCUGAAUGAUGAGGAACACCCCCUCCUCCCCACUCCCCAUUUGCCUUAAACAACUCAGAACAUUUUAUGGGCAAGAAACAAACUUCCAUUGUGUGUGAACCCUUACACAUUUUAGUGCCUGCUUGUUAUAGCAGCUAGCGUUAUCCUAACUAGCACAAGUUAUAAAUAUUUGGCAUGUGAAUAUUGCUAGAUAGAGAGAGCACAGGGAUUUAAACACUUUUUCUGUUCUGUGUUCUGUUUUCUUUUUCUAUUCUGAUCUUUGCCUUCAACUCCUCAAAGCCGUAAUUAGCAUUAGAAUAUUGCCACUUUAUUGAAAUGUAGUGGGAAUGAGUAAAAUGAUACCUGACCUACCACUCUGAGCUCCGUGGGGUAAAAAGUAUAGUAAAUUAAGUAUAGUAUAUACACAAUCAGGUUUUAAGGUACCUAUUAAACACAAAUCGAGUAGAAAUCAAGUUAUGUAAAACUUAAAAGUUAUCUAAAUCCCAAGCCACCCCAUUAUGUACAUAAGUGAGUGUGAACAGCAUUAUCUUGUAUAUUAAACAGGUAAAAUUAGGUUUAACUCCUCCUUGAGUUGCCUUAAUAACUAAGAAGAGUCAGUAACUAUGCAAAAACAAUCUCUUUCAUAGAAAUGUAAACCUUUGGGUUUGGUGUUAGACAUAUGUAAAUCUGUAUAAUCUUUCUGUCAAAGGUAGUGGCAACCUAACGGUGUUUCUGUGGUUGUUAGUCAGAGAUGGCAGUCACUAAUGGUGUCUCUAGCCUUUUGUGCUGAUUUUAAAGACUAGAAGUAUAUUUUGAGCAUAUUUCUAACUAAUUUGAUUUUAUAGUAGUAUCUGUUAAAGGUGAUCUUACAUUAUGUUUGAUCCAAGUUUCAUAAAGGAAGACAAACACAUGGUAGCUUAAAGUUAGGCUGAAGUUAGCCAAAAUUGGAAGAUGAAUUAUUCGUCACCUGAUGAUCUGAACUUAGGAAAAUCCCCAAUCCUAGAACUUUAGCUAAGUUUAGCACCAAGUUAUUCAAGAUGUAUCCCUUCAUGCCUAUAGUUUCUUUACACUGCCAUGAUUCAUUCAUUCACAAGUACUUACUGUGCCCCUGAACUUGAAGCUGGGAAUUCAAGAUGCCAAAGAUACAGUCUUUGUCCUCACAGAGACACAGUCUAAUAGAGAAGACAGUCAUAUAAAUAUGUGACCAUAAGGCACAGCAAUAUAUCUAAUACAGCUGUGCACAGUGUCUAAAUGCAUCCGAAGCUCCAUCAUUGGAUCAUAGAGUAUUAUGGGAUAGGAGCUAAGGGGAAAUGUUGUAUAUUUUGCCAUCUGUGCUGCAAAUUUAAUCUGAGACUCUAAGGUUGAUGAGUUCACCUCAACUGCCCAUUGUUCUGUUUCAACCUGACCAGCCAGCAUAACACUAUGGCCCUUUCUUAUGAUCUAGAAAUUUUAGAUGCUCAAGUGAAGAGGCUGCCAUCUUGAACUGGCCAAAAUUCAUGUCAUUCUCAGAAGUGAAAAGUCUUAUUUACAUGAUUUCUGGCCUUUGAUCCAUCACUCUACCAAAGUAUUAAAAGCCCAAUGUCCCCUCCUGUUUUUCUUUUACAUAUUCAUACUUGGGCCAGAAAAUAUUAGUGAGAAUAUAGAGGCACUGAAGUAAGUGGUAGCCAUCUGGCCUGGCCAACUUCUAAAAAAAAAAAAAUCCUGUAGAAGAUAAGGCCUUCUUUGGAUGACACCUGUGCCCCAGGGAAAUUGACAUAUUAUUAUGA